GGGCCCGCACAAGCGGCGGAGCAUGCGGAUUAAUUCGAUGCAACGCGAAGAACCUUACCUGGGUUUGACAUCGCCGGAAAUCCUUCAGAGAUGGGGGGUCCUUCGGGGUCGGUGACAGGUGGUGCAUGGCUGUCGUCAGCUCGUGUCGUGAGAUGUUGGGUUAAGUCCCGCAACGAGCGCAACCCUCGUUCGAUGUUGCCAGCGGUUCGGCCGGGGACUCAUCGAAGACUGCCGGGGUCAACUCGGAGGAAGGUGGGGAUGACGUCAAGUCAUCAUGCCCCUUAUGUCCAGGGCUUCACGCAUGCUACAAUGGCCGGUACAAAGGGCUGCGAUACCGUGAGGUGGAGCGAAUCCCAAAAAGCCGGUCUCAGUUCGGAUCGGGGUCUGCAACUCGACCCCGUGAAGUCGGAGUCGCUAGUAAUCGCAGAUCAGCAACGCUGCGGUGAAUACGUUCCCGGGCCUU
rnacentral:rRNA from 1 species